GCCCUCGAAGCUGACCGGGACUCAGCCUUCGGGCGGCAGCCCCUUCUCCAGACUCGAUGACAGCCCAAGGGCGCUUCACGCAUCUGUUGCUUCGCUGCAGGGAGAACCGGGUACGGGGGCGCAGAAGAGAGACAAGUAAGUUUUGAGGACUCCCCUGACCCCGAAGACCCACUUCAGUCUUUCCCGGCGUUGGGUCCGUUUGCCUCACUUCUACCCGGCUGCAGGUUGGAGUCCUCGCGCGCCUCCGGGCUCCGCGGGAACGCGCACAGCCUCUCCCACCUCCUGCGACGUCUUCGUUUGUGAAAGCCGUAGAGACCCUCCCCGAGAGGCGUUGUCGCCAGAGGAGCCACACGUCCACCGCCCCGGCUCGGCUCUUCCCAGCCCACUGCACCCCAAGUCCCACUUCCCCCUACAUUUACACACUCGCAGGCACUGCCACUGCCCCUCAUCACAGUUACCCCCACACGCACAAACGCAUUUCACACAAUCGACCUUCCAGCGUUAGAAUUGUCCAUCAUCCUGAAAUAAUCGAGUCGAUGUGUCGCGCUCUUGCUACGUUCACACGCAUUUUCACAAGCACACCUUCGUCGGCACGCUCACCCCGCGCGUUUCGCACCGCACACCCAUUCAUGUUCACUCACCCUCGCGCGCCCGUCCCGCCAGCUCCCGCGAGGUACGCUGCUAAUUGAAUACGAGCCGCUUUUACGCCCAGCAACACGUGAGACGAACCAUCUUUGAGGAAUUUGGGAGCAGGCGUGGCGCACAACGGAAGGGAGGGGGGCGUGUCUCUACCUUUAAACACUUCUGCAAAUACAGACGUUGGCACCGAAAGACUUCAGCGGACCAGAGGGGCUGUCCACAGCCUGGCUCGCGCGCAAGGUUCCCUUCUGCGCUCCUGCUAGCCGCCUCCUCCCCGAAGCCACGUUCCACACUAUGCAUAAUUGAUAGUGUUAGCAGAGCGCCUGGCCCUCCCUGCCAUUUUUGCCUGGAUCUGGGCAGAUUCAAGCCCUAUUCUCCCCUCACCCUCCACCCUCGCCAGACGAAAACGCGCAGCCCUGCAGGGCGCUCCGGGAAGAGCCGCCCCUCUCCCCAGCGCACCGCAGCCCUGCCCGGCCAGAAUUCUUUACGUCUGGCCUUUGUGGCAAAGUCAGCCCUUGCAGCCCACGGUCCACAGCGCUACCGCGAGGAGAGGUGGGGCGCCGUGUCACCCAGGCACCCCACUGUCAGUUCCUGGCGAAUGGGGCACUGGAGCUGCAGGGGAUAGUGGCAGGGACAGGGCUCGGUACAAAACGUCUGCUCUUCUUGAACACUGUGGGAGGAGGACGUAAGAUUUUAACAUUUGCACCCCCACACACUCCCGCCAGUAUCUUCAUAGCCUCUCUAGCGCGCGCGCACACACACACACACACACACACACACACACACUGUCCCCCAAGUGUGAUGGCACGCCACCACCCCGCUGUCUCACACCCUCACACAACAGCUGGCCUCAGCAGAUUCAGGACUUGCUGUUCUCGACUCUCCCUAUCUGGCAAAACCAGACACUUGAUCUAGCGACAGGGAGGUGGAGACACAGGGAUGUCGAGGCAUUUGGCUAAAACCCCUUCGGGCCUUGGUGCUGCCUACAGCAGCCCAAGAGACAGAGCUGCUGGCCAGAACCAGAAAGGGGUUUGGGCUCCUGGAGAACCAGAGCCUCAGCUCCUUGUCCCUUUUGUAGACAUUGGGAUCUCGGGCACGUGAGCCCCCUCCCCCCCAGCCCACGCCCAGGCGGGUGGGCGAAGGUCUCACUUGGCAGUCAAUAGUGCGCAGGUUUGGGACCUCUGCAGAGAUCAAUAUCCCUAUUUGAGUGUUAAGCAUUUUAAUGAGCCCAGGAGGGGGUGGGGGAAAGAGACUGGGUGCUGCGUGGUGCAUUUCAAGAGACCACCCAGCCAGCUGGGGUUCUGUGGCUCCUUUGUAAAUUAAAUACGUACAGACUGGGCAGGCACACUCUCAGCCCCUCCCUCUGUCCUAUUCCUCCGGUGGCUGCGAGCUGCAAGGCGCCAGGCGAGCUGGAACCAACACAUCUCAAUCAGCCAAGUUCUGAACCCAGAACAUCACUAACCGGCUCAGGCCUGCGUCCCCACAGCCUACCUCAGGGGAGACUGCUGGGGCACCCUUGAAGAGAAGGUGUGGAGAGCGCAGGACUGGCCAGGCCUGGGGACCCUACAGCAGUCCCUAACUUAGAGCCCUACGCCCGUCCCGGCGGGGCUGGAGCCCGAGUCGCCCCUGUGAGAGCCGCGACCUCAGUUUCCGCCCGCGAGCUGAGCUGGAAAGCAGCGCGCGCCCCCAACGCGCGGGAGCCGCAGGGUUGCGGCUUCGGGGCGAUGUUCACAAGGAUACAGUUACUGCAGGCCGAGAACAAGGACCCCACCCCCGCCGCCGCCUUCGCCUCCGAUCGUUAAAGAAACAGGCAUCUAAUCAGCUGUGUGGACGCAGAGAUGGGAAAGCGGGAAUCCCAGGUUCCAAGGCGCAGAGCACAGGGCCACAGAUUCAGAAGCUGGCGACCCCGGCUUAAGCUUUUCUCCAGGCUUGGGGUCCUGAACCCAGACAGAGCCCAGGGCUGCUUUUCCCAGAUUAACUUCCGACAUUAACCUUGUGGACGCGGAGGGCCGGGAAGGUGCGAAGGGUUGAAAUCUGCAGGAUGGGACUUGCUAAAUCCUGGGCUCCCCUUGCGCUCAGGUCUCUAGCCUGGUCCUGAUCCGCUCGCGACACCUGCUGGACGCCGCUUUCCGGGCUCAGAGGCGGGUGGGGACCAGGCCCCGCUCUCCGCUCCAGUGGGGCGCGCUCUCCGUGCCCACUCAGCCUAAAUCUCAGGAUCUUCAACCUUCCCUCCCCUCCAAUCGCAAGGAUGCUGUUUCGCGUGCGUGAUAGUCCCAGCUCGGAGAGCUCACGAGCACCCCCUGAAGGCUCCUUAGGAGAAAGCUCGUUGUGCCCUCCACACUCACAG
ensembl:lncRNA